rnacentral:rRNA from 1 species
CGUAGGGUGCGAGCGUUAAUCGGAAUUACUGGGCGUAAAGCGUGCGCAGGCGGUUUGUAAGACAGGCGUGAAAUCCCCGGGCUCAACCUGGGAACUGCGCUUGUGACUGCAAGGCUAGAGUACGGCAGAGGGGGGUGGAAUUCCACGUGUAGCAGUGAAAUGCGUAGAGAUGUGGAGGAACACCAAUGGCGAAGGCAGCCCCCUGGGUCGAUACUGACGCUCAUGCACGAAAGCGUGGGUAGCGAACAGGAUUAGAUACCCUGGUAGUCCACGCCCUAAACGAUGUCAACUAGGUGUUGGGCGGGUAAAACCAUUUAGUACCGGAGCUAACGCGUGAAGUUGACCGCCUGGGGAGUACGGCCGCAAGGUUA